UGCUAGUCACUAAAAAAGAUGGUCAGC
rnacentral:sRNA from 1 species